rnacentral:rRNA from 1 species
UCCGGAGGGUGCAAGCGUUAUCCGGAUUCACUGGGUUUAAAGGGUGCGUAGGUGGGCAGGUAAGUCAGUGGUGAAAUCUCCGAGCUUAACUCGGAAACUGCCGUUGAUACUAUUUGUCUUGAAUAUUGUGGAGGUAAGCGGAAUAUGUCAUGUAGCGGUGAAAUGCUUAGAUAUGACAUAGAACACCAAUUGCGAAGGCAGCUUACUACACAACGAUUGACGCUGAGGCACGAAAGCGUGGGGAUCAAACAGG